rnacentral:rRNA from 1 species
UAGGGAAUCUUCCACAAUGGACGCAAGUCUGAUGGAGCAACGCCGCGUGAGUGAAGAAGGUUUUCGGACCGUAAAGCUCUGUUGUUGGUGAAGAAGGAUAGAGGUAGUAACUGGCCUUUAUUUGACGGUAAUCAACCAGAAAGUCACGGCUAACUACGUGCCAGCAGCCGCGGUAAUCGUAGGUGGCAAGCGUUGUCCGGAUUUAUUGGGCGUAAAGCGAGCGCAGGCGGAAGAAUAAGUCUGAUGUGAAAGCCCUCGGCUUAACCGAGGAAUUGCAUCGGAAACUGUUUUCUUGAGUGCAGAAGAGGAGAGUAGAACUCCAUGUGUAGCGGUGGAAUGCGUAGAUAUAUGGAAGAAUACCAGUGGCGAAGGCGGCUCUCUGGUCUGCAACUGACGCUGAGGCUCGAAAGCAUGGGUAGCGAACAGGAUUAGAUACCCUGGUAGUCCAUGCCGUAAACGAUGAGUGCUAAGUGUUGGGAGGCUUCCGCCUCUCAGUGCUGCAGCUAACGCAUUAAGCACUCCGCCUGGGGGAGUACGACCGCAAGGUUGA